GUGCUCACUUCAGAAGCACAGAGACCAAAAUUGGAACAAUACAAUUAGCAUGGCCUCUGUUCAAGGAUGAUAUACAAAUUUGUGAAGUGUUCUAUAUGUUU
ensembl:snRNA U6 U6 spliceosomal RNA